rnacentral:lncRNA from 1 species
AAAUAUAAGAAAAAUAUGCUGGUCGAAAGUGUCAUACUUUUGAUGGACACCAAAAAUGACAAAGCGUCAUACUUUUUAUGGACGGUGGAAGUUGUGCACAUAUGCCAUUUCAAAUACUUUCUAAUUAGAUUUUUGUGCAAACAUAUUUGUUGAAGAACACUAACAAAUUGUCCAAUUUGUAUCCGCAUUUGUACUAAUAUUUUGAGCCUAAACAAUCUCUAGGGUUGUAUAUACUUGAAUCUCAAUAAACGUUGUGAUGUUUCUACACUUAAUAAACCAUAAGGGUGUGUUUACUUUGAUGGAGAAGGAGAGAAAAAGUAUAUUUUCACUCAUUUUUCAUCAUUUUCACAUAUACUUACUAUAAUGAAAAAUUUCCUCCGGACAGGGUGGAAUAUUUUCUCGGGCAGCUCAUUUUUUCACUCAUUUUCUCUCCAAUGUUGGAUAAUAGGGGUGUGAAAAUAUAUAUUAUCCAACAUUUUCUAAUCUUUUCAUCUAUAGUAAACAUAUGAUAAAAUAGGGAGAAAAAGAUAAUAUUUUCUCAUUUUUUCUUAUUCAUCAUUUUUCAAUAAAAAUUUUACGACCAAAGUAAACGCGCCCC